AUUAUUCAUAUCCGUCCUGUUUUUUGGAAAUACUAAAUAUUUAAAAAAAAUGAUAAAAAAAAAAUGUCCUCUGUUAGGUUUAUGUUUAUUCUAAUAAUUCUUUAUUAUUUCCAAGCACUCGCAGGUAAGUGUUUUUUAAUCAUUUCUUAAAUACAUUUGACUUUGUGGUUCACUUAAACAUACACAAAUAUGUAUGCGUUCGUAGCUUUCAAAUUUUCAGGUUUGAGCAUUCCUGAUGAAGGUCAAUACCAAAGCGAUUUUCGUUUUGUUUUUCUUCACAGUUCAUGUUCGCAUAGUAGUUAUUAGGAAUUUUUUUUGUCGAUGAAGUGUUGUCCUUUCAAUCUGACACACGCAUGUUUGCGAAAGAUUGAGUCAGUAUAUUCUCAUAGGAAAAUUAUGAAUAAAAAAAGGUUAAAUCAGUGUAAUCCAGCCCUGGUAAGGAUGAAAAUCUAAAGCCACAACACUGAAGUGUUUUGUCGUUACAGUAUAUUUAAAAAAAAAACCAAUGCAAACAUCCCACGUCGACAAUACAUCUAAAUAGUUGACAAGUAUUUUGUAACUAUUCAAGUUUGAAAUUACAUACUUAUAAAACAUACUUCAGUUCAGGGAUGGGGUAAUUGAAAAUGUAAUGGUAAUUAAGUGUAAUGCAUUACAAUUUUCCAUGUAAUUGAAUGUAAUGUGUAAUUGAGCAUAUUUUUAAUUACUUGUAAUGGUAAUUUAAUUAAUUACAAUGAAGAAAGCAUGUAAUGCUCAAUUACUUUUGAAUUACAUUUCAAUUACAUGUACUUUUAUGGUGUUAAUGAUAAGGAUUUAUGUUUAAUAAUACAAAUUGUAAAAGUAUAUUUAUUUUUCAAAUAUUGAUAUCACAUACUUUCUGUAAUUUAUUCUAAAGUUUUUAUAUUACUUAUUUGACCAACAGAAUUUUUUUCUGAAUAGUCUUAUGAUUUGAAAAAAUACAUAUGUUUUAAGAAGAUCUAAAUAGAUUGAAAAGAAAUAAAUCACCAUGUUAAACAAAAACAAAAAAAUGUGUGAAAAAUCUUAUAUGAGAGUUCAUUUGAAUUUAAAUUUACUGCACACAAUCAUUUUGUCAAAUUAGUAUACACAAAAGGAUUAUAAGAUAAAAAUUAACAGCUGUAAAAACAAACAGCAAUUUAUCAGAUUAAUAUGUCCAGGGGCAAUGCCACUAUUACAUGUAUUUUAUCUAAUUAGCAAAAUAUUGCUAAGAUAUAGACAUUAUAUACAUUGUUUGUACUAAAAAUUAUUUUUAAUGUUGUGACAAGCAUACCUUUUAAUAAUUAUUAAGUGAUUUUUCUUUUUAUUUAUUUAUAAUUUCUUUAUUCAUGCUAUGUUUUAUUUAAAUAACUUCAUUUCUGAGAUGUCAAAAUACCCCUUAAUGUAUUGGCAAGUUAAUAGGAACUAAUUUUACUCUUCUAUCAACACAUCUACUGAUUAUGGAAGUAUAAUACCUCCAUGUUCUAAUCAAGCGAUAUAUGCCACAUUAGCUCCUAUAGAAAUACUUUUGAGAAUGGCUGUCAAAGUGUACAGACCAGAGAGAUGCAGACUAAAUGACAAAACAUUAAAAUUACUCAUGAUUAUCAAAUGCAACGCUUAAACUAUGUUUACAUGAAUAUUUUACACAUACAUUAUACAUACAUGUAUAAUAUUGGUUAACAAAUAUUAUGAUGAAAUGUAAUGUGUAAUUUAAUUAAUACUUUAGUAAAGUAAUUGUAAUUUAAUUAAUUACAUUUCAAAAAUUGUGUAAUGUGUAAUUAGUGUAAUUGACCAUUUUUGCAAUGUAAUGUGUAAUUUAAUUAAUAACAUUCCAAUGUAAUUGACCCCAAGUCUGCUUUAAUUCAAGAAUAAUUCAAAACUUUGAAAAUUAACAAAAUUGAUCAUAACUUGAUUUUAUUAUUAUUUGAAAUUUAUCAUUUAGAUGGUUUUGAGAAACCUUUAUCAUGGGAGGAAGCAAGACGCGAAUGUAGGAGACUGAAUAAAAUAUUGUCACCUUUGAAGUCAGUCCGACGAAAUUUAGACACUCAUUUCAGGUCUAUUCGAUCAGUAUGGACAUCAAAUUAUGGUCUAAAUUUAGGAUGCAAUAUAUCUACAGGUAAGGAAAUAAAGAUUUAUGUUGAAAGAUACAAUAACGUGUUCUAUUAUUUUAUUUGCAUUUGUAAAUUAUUGCUGGUACAGUUUAGUCUAUAUUUGGAAAUAUACAUUUGACGUGGCUCGAUAUUUAUACAUCUCGUCAUUAUAUUUUUGUGCAACAGUAAAUUUUUGUAUUCUUGUCUCUCGUUUUUGCUUAUGUGGUUGGUCUAUAUUCUUUUUUUUUUCCUUGUUGACAUAUUUGUUUGUUUUUAUAGUGAUUAAAAUUAUAGCACAAUGUUGCUUGCUAUACCCCUAUUUUAGACAUUUUUACCUUUUACAUUUAUUUGUUUUGUUCGCACAUCGUUGUCAAUAUAAUGAAAAUGGAUUCGACUGCCACAAGUGAGAGGUUUAACUAACUAUAUAUACACCAGGUUUAAUCCACUAUAUUCUACCUAAAUAAAACAUGAACCAAGUACUAAGUCAGGAGUAUAACAGUUGUUAUCCAUUUGUCUGAUGAGUUUGAGCUUUUGAUUUUGUCAUUUGAUUAGGGUUUUCCGUAUUGAAUUUUACUCAGAGUUUUUGGCAUUUUUGCUAUGAUUUCACUUUUGAACAUUUCUUAUCAACUGAUAACUGCCUUUGACGAAAACGGGUUUUUUGUUAUACCUUAGAAGAAAACGUUACAGAGUAACUAUAAAACAGUACGUACAAUAAAUAUCAUGCUGUGAGUUUUUAUUUUCUCCGUUUACUUGUCAACAUAAAAUGUCUUUUUACUGUUAAAAAGGUAUUUGCUAAAUUACAAUGUAUGCACAAUUUCUGUUUUGAAUUGCUAAUUGUUUUCUUUAUAACAGGUUUCUGUGAUAUUUUAUACAUUGAGCAAAUUCCGAAGAGCGAACAUUAUGAAGGGUUGUGUGAGAAUGGUUGGUAUAUAUUGAAAUAGGAUAUACAUUUUAUGUAGAAUAUAAAAUAAAGCGUGUUUCAUAAAAUAUGUUUAAUUUAAGUUGAAUUUUGCAAGUCUAUACACUUGAAUAUCUUAUUUCUUCUAAAUAGUUACACUCCAAAUUAAUAUUGAUGCAAUUCUAUUUUUUUUGCUACGUAUUCUGCCUUCACAUUCGAAAGCACAAAUGACCCAACUAAUAAUCUAGGAUAUCUUUGCUGAGUUAUUUGGUGGUUUUUACAACGACCAAAUGGUGCCCCCGCUGUUGGACGUUUCCAUUCCCGAUAAUAUCACAACCCCAGUAGUUAUGACUUCUGUGUUGACAUGAAACACCAUCGAUACAAUAAUUGUCUGUAAUUUGACUUGUUAUAGAAUGAAGUUAUUUGAAACAAUAAAAUUUAACCUUCGGCAUAACAUAUGUAUUUGGUGAAACUUUUUCGCAAUUUUGUUUUUAGUAUUUUUAGUAUUUGUGUUAUAAAUGGCCUUCAUUAUUAGUUAUUAUCCAUUAUUUUGUUUAUUAUUCUGCCAACAUAAACCCGACGUCAAUUAAAAUUUCGCUCAUUUCCCAAAAUAAACCUUGCAUCCACACUUAUUUAAUUCAUUGCCACAGUCAUGAAGCAAACAUAGAAAGAAAUCUAACAGAUAUACACAUCAAAACUUGGUAUGCACAUAUAUUCAGUCAUGGACUAUACUUUUUUAACAGAUUUCCCAGUCACCGUAUCUUCAAAAUAUUUUCAAAUUGGAUCCAACAAUACCUUUAAAGGAACAUGCAAAAGGGGUAUUCCUGUUGACUUAUUCGAUAUGACGGAACUUGGUCACGCAAUAAAAGAAAUGGAAGUCAAUACAAACUACUGGAUUAAUUCUACGAAUAUUGGUAC
rnacentral:lncRNA from 1 species